AAGAGCAAACUGCCCAAGCCUCCACCAAAGAAAUCAAACCCUAGCCACCACCAAUAGUUGUCGCCGUCUGUCGGAGUGAGAGAUUGCUGCCGCCGUCCGUCGCACUCAAGAACUUCCGUCUUCGUGCUCUUGGGCCUCUCGCCGGAUCCUCCGCGUCGUGUGCUCGCAUCUCGCCUCUCUCCUCUUGCUCGUCUGCUCGCGCCUUCCUCCGCCAGUGAGUGCUCGAACUGUGCGUGUUUCUGCUCCCCCACCGCUGCUCUUCUGCCGGCAUCCGUCGCGCUCAACACCACCGUCUUCGUCUGGGCGUCGAGCCCGAGUCUCCAACCCCUUUCCUCAUUCACCAAGCGCAACUUCUUCCUCGAAUUCGCCGGCCGCCGUCUUCUCUUCCUUUGCUCAGCCACGCUUUUGCCGCCGUUCGUCGUUGUGCUCAUCGCCUGGUCUCCGUCUCGAUCGCGCUUCUGCCCUUCUGCUCAGACUGCUUAGAACGAAGAUUGUUGGUAUUGAAAAUAAAAAAUGGAUAUAGGAUUAUGUCUUUCUUGGAGCUAUCUUCAUGUGGUAGAGGAAGCAAAGAUACUCUAGUUACUACAGAGAGCAUAAAGGAAGUGCAAGUGGAUCCUCUAUAAUGCUAGAACUUCAAAUUAAGCACUUUGCAAAAGGGGUUCAAAAUACAAAGCUAAAUAAACCUACUCCUCUCAGGUAUAUGCUAAAGGCAACAUUUAGUGGAGCUGAUCAUAUAUGGCAUUUCGAUUUCUACCGCUUCUAGUGCAGUGUGCCAAAUUGAGACACCCUUUUCCCUCCAAGCUCAGUUCCAUUUCCACAUCCCUCCACCAUCUUUCAGAUUCUUUCUUCUCAGAAGAACUGUUCCCUGAUCGACAAAAAACCAUUUCCAAUCUCGACGAACACCUCGUUCUUGAGCAAAUAUCGGAGCUCUUACCCAUAGCCAAAUGUGCAUCACAGAACACUAUCUUGAAAGACCAUGAAUCCAAAUCGGCAAGGGAACCUGUCGAUGGGUUUUUGUCACCAGAGGAGAAAUUGCGUGGUGUUUUUCUUCAGAAGCUGAAUGGUAAGGCUGCAAUUGAACAAGCUUUAUCCAAUGUUGGUGUUGAUGUGAAUAUUGAUGUUCUCGGUAGGGUAGUGAACUCUGGGAACUUGGGUGGUGAAGCCAUGGUUGCAUUUUUUAACUGGGCAAUUAAACAGCCAAUGUUACCUAAGGACAUUGGCAGUUACCGUGUGAUUGUUAAGGCACUAGGAAGAAGGAAGUUUUUCAAGUUCAUGAUGGAGGUAUUAGAUGACAUGAAGGUUAAUGGCUUAGAAGCUGAUUUGUUACUGUUAUUUAUUGUUAUUGAUAGUUUUGUCAGGGCUGGUCAUGUGUCUAAAGCAAUUCAAGUGUUUAGCAACUUGGAUGAUCUCGGGUUGAGACGCAAUGCAGAUGCCUUGAAUGUACUCUUGUCAUGCCUUUGCCAACGGUCUCAUAUGAGUGCUGCAAGUUCUGUGUUUAAUUCAAUGAAAGGGAAAGUAUCUUUUGAUGUUACUACGUACAAUGUUGUUGCUGGUGGUUGGUCUAAGUUGGGUAGUGUGAAUGAGAUUGAGAGGAUUAUGAAGGAAAUGGAAGUAGAUGGAUUUCAUCCUGAUUGUAGGACUUUCAGUUUAUUUAUUGAGGGUUUAGGCAGAGCUGGCCGCAUUGAUGAGGCUGUUGAGGUUUUCAAUAAAAUGCAGGAGAAAAAUUGUCCAGCUGAUACUGAGACUUAUAAUGCAAUGAUUUUUAAUUUUGUGUCGGUUAGAGAUUUUGAUGAGUCUAUGAAGUAUUAUAAAGCAUUGUUGAGUAAUAAUUGUGAACCUAAUCUUGAUACGUACACAAGAAUUAUUAUUGGCUUUUUGAGAGCUCGGAAGGUUGCUGAUGCACUCCAGAUGUUUGACGAAAUGCUAAGGCAAGGAGUUGUACCUUCUACUGGGAUGGUAACCUCCUUCAUCAAGCAUUUAUGCAACUAUGGUCCACCAUAUGCUGCAAUAGUUAUUUACAAGAAAGUGAGAAAAUUAGGAUGUAUGAUAUCAAUGAAUGCUUAUAAGAUAUUGCUUAUGCGUCUAAUGAAGUUUGCGAAAUGUGGAAUGUUACUAAAUAUCUGGCAGGAGAUGCAAGAAUGUGGGUAUAAUUCAGAUAUUGAAGUUUAUGAGUGCAUCAUCACUGGACUUUGCAACAUAGGACAGCUUGAAAAUGCGGUUCUUGUCAUGGAGGAGUCUUUGCAGAAAGGGUUCUGUCCAAGUAGGCUUGUAUAUAGUAAAUUAAGUAACAGGUUGCUUGCUUCAAAUAAAACAGAGAUCGCAUACAAGUUGUUUCUGAAGAUAAAGCAUGCUCGUUCCCUUAAAAGUGCAAGGAGCUUUUGGCGUUCUAAUGGUUGGCACUUCUGAACAGGCAUGCCAAUCAACAUCUCCUGCAGUAGAGCCUCUUGUUUGAUUUUAACACUAGUAAAUAACUGUAGCCAAGAAAAAUAUUGCUAUACCAGUACACACCAAGAAAUAGAUCACAUCUCAAAAUAUUACUAGUUUGCAGAUGACUUCCCUCGGUGGUACUAACUGGUGACUGGCUAAAAAUAUGGUUAAGGGCUAGCUGUCUCAAGCCCAUUGAUUUGCUUACAAGUCAUCAGAGAGGGAUUAAUCAGCAUGUUCGAUGGUAGAUACCAGGGCCUCAAGAGACGAGCAAGCUCUUACAAACGGAAUUAUAUGCAGAUUGAUGUGAAGUUUGUAGGCAAUUAGCUCGACAUUUACAAAGUAAGCAGCAGUACUAUUAAACCGCUAUUGUUCAAGUGCAUUUUUGUGUGUUCAAGAUGUCUCUGCUUUAAUUGAUAUCACCACCUAUAUAUGUUGUAAAUAUUAUUAACAGAUUAAUCUGUUAUGACUUUUCAAUUGUAUACCUCUGAGUUGUCACAAAUAGGAAUCAAGUGAAAUUUUUGAA